rnacentral:rRNA from 1 species
AACGAACGCUGGCGGCAGGCUUAACACAUGCAAGUCGAACGCCCUCUUCGGAGGGAGUGGCAGACGGGUGAGUAACGCGUGGGAAUCUACCCAUCUCUACGGAAUAACACAGAGAAAUUUGUGCUAAUACCGUAUACGCCCCUUCGGGGGGAAAGAUUUAUCGGAGAUGGAUGAGCCCGCGUUAGAUUAGCUAGUUGGUGAGGUAAUGGCUCACCAAGGCGACGAUCUAUAGCUGGUCUGAGAGGAUGAUCAGCCACACUGGAACUGAGACACGGUCCAGACUCCUACGGGAGGCAGCAGUGGGGAAUAUUGGACAAUGGGGGCAACCCUGAUCCAGCCAUGCCGCGUGAGUGAUGAAGGCCCUAGGGUUGUAAAGCUCUUUCAACGGUGAAGAUAAUGACGGUAACCGUAGAAGAAGCCCCGGCUAACUUCG